AUUUUGGGGUUCAGGAAGGAAUUUGGGGGUUCAGUGAGGAUUUUGGAGGUUCAGAGGGGAUUGAGAAGGAAUUUUGGGGUUCAAGAAGGAAUUUUGGGGUUCAGUGAGGAAUUUUGGGGGUUCAAUGAGAAUUUUGGGGUUCAAGGAGGAUUUUUGGAGAUCAACAGGAACUUUAUGGGAUUCAGUUUGGGGUUCGAUGAGGAUUUUGAGGGUUCAAUGAGGAUUUGGGGGUUCAGUGAGGAUUUUGGGGGUUCAGUGAGGAUUUUGGGGGUUCAAUGAGGAUUUUGGGGGUUCAAUGAGGAUUUUGGGGGUUCAAUGAGGAUUUUGGGGGUUCAAUGAGGAUUUUGAGGGUUCAAUGA
rnacentral:lncRNA from 1 species